AUUCCAUGGUGAGCACAACUUCUAGUGUAUUCUUUCAAACGCUCACAAGCUUCACUUAAAGACUCUUAACCACCUUGCCUGAAAGAGUUUAUAUCACUUCUGUACU
rfam:Arabis alpina cultivar Pajares chromosome 2, whole genome shotgun sequence.